rnacentral:rRNA from 1 species
GACGAACGCUGGCGGCGUGCUUAACACAUGCAAGUCGAACGGAAAGGCCCUGUCUUGGUGGGGUGCUCGAGUGGCGAACGGGGGAGUAACACGUGAGUAACCUGCCCUUGACUUUGGGAUAACUUCAGGAAACAGGGGGUAAUACCGGAUAGGAGCUCCUGCUGCAUGGUGGGGGUGGGAAAGUUUCGGCGGUUGGGGAUGGACUCGCGGCUUAUCAGCUUGUUGGUGGGGUAGUGGCUGACCAAGGCUUUGACGGGUAGCCGGCCUGAGCGGGUGACCGGCCACAUUGCGACUGAGAUACGGCCCAGACUCCUACGGGAGGCAGCAGUGGGGAAUAGUGCACAAUGGGCGGAGGCCUGAUGCAGCACCGCCGCGUGCCGGAUGACGGCCUUCGGGUUGUAAACCGCUUUCGCCUGUGACGAAGCGUGAGUGACGGUAAUGGGUAAAGAAGCACCGGCUAACUACGUG